GCCAGCCUCUCCUUCCCUCGUUUUCACCACCACCAACCGGAGCCCGCAACCACGAUCCAAAUCCUCACCGCGCAGCCGCACGCCCAAGGCCCCGAGCUCCUCCCACUCGAUCCUUCCCGAGCUCCUCCAUGCCGUGCUCCUUCCCCGAGCCCUGCACCUCCCCUGAAGUUCGCUUGCCGUCGUCCCCGGUAUGUCCAUGCAGGAGCCGCAAGGAGGAAGCUGCCAUCACCAAGUUCUUGCCAUGCGCGCCUGGAUCCGCCAUCCCUGGCUCCUCCGCACUUGAUUCCCGCUGUUCCUGAGUCCCGUCGCCCCGCCAAGUACCUCGCCGGAGAACCACAUGUCCGCUCGUUCCCCUGCUUAGAACAUCAGAACGCGGUACCGUGCCUGCCUCCCUUGCCACCCUGAACCGCCCGAGCUCGUGGAUGCCCGGCGCCCGAGGCCUCCUGCCUCCCUGAUGCUCGUCGCCGAGCACCAGUGCUCCAAACCCGGCCCUUCUGCAGCUCGCCAGAGUUGAGACAUCGUCGUCCUAUUCGACUCCCACCAUCAGGAACCAUCUCCCCUUGUCAGAUCCGGUGGAUCCCCGCGCCCGUUCCCGACCACCUUCGCUCUGGACCCGUCCUCUCUGCCUCGUCGUCGCCGGAGUCCAAGCUGCCCCGCUGCAUCCUCUGCUUCCCCUGCUCACUGCGACCUGAAGCUACGCGCCUGCAUCGA